UAGGGAAUAUUGCGCAAUGGGCGAAAGCCUGACGCAGCCAUGCCGCGUGGAUGAUGAAGGCCUUCGGGUCGUAAAGUCCUUUUCUGAGGGAAGAACUGCCGGGGGAGGAAAUGCCCUUGGCUUGACGGUACCUCAGGAAUAAGCAACGGCUAACUCCGUGCCAGCAGCCGCGGUAAUACGGAGGUUGCAAGCGUUGUUCGGAAUGACUGGGCGUAAAGGGAGCGCAGGCGGCCAAGUCAGUCUGAAGUGAAAGCCCGGGGCUUAACCCCGGAAUAGCUUUGGAUACUGCCUGGCUUGAGUGUGCGAUAGGAAAGCGGAAUUCCAGGUGUAGCGGUGAAAUGCGUAGAUAUCUGGAGGAACACCGGUGGCGAAAGCGGCUUUCUGGCGCAUAACUGACGCUGAGGCUCGAAAGCGUGGGGAGCGAACGGG
rnacentral:rRNA from 3 species